rnacentral:tRNA from 1 species
GGCCCUAUCGUCUAUCGGCUAGGACACCAGGUUCUCAUCCUGGUAAGAGGGGUUCGACUCCCCUUAGGGCUA